rnacentral:rRNA from 1 species
UACAGAGGUCUCAAGCGUUGUUCGGAUUCAUUGGGCGUAAAGGGUGCGUAGGCGGCGGGGCAAGUCUGAUGUGAAAUCCCGGGGCUCAACCCCGGAACUGCAUUGGAUACUGCCUUGCUAGAGUACUGGAGAGGAGACUGGAAUUUACGGUGUAGCAGUGAAAUGCGUAGAUAUCGUAAGGAAGGCCAGUGGCGAAGGCGAGUCUCUGGACAGUUACUGACGCUGAGGCACGAAGGCCAGGGGAGCAAACAGG